GCCUCGGAGGGGGGGGGGCAAUCUAAAUGCAAUAAAGAAAGAAAGAGAAGAUUAGCAUGGCCCCUGGGCAAGGGUGACAUGAAAAAUCGUGAAGCAUGCCAAAUUUUU